rnacentral:lncRNA from 1 species
CGCUCCUGUCGAUGUUGAUUAAGGAGGCUACCUGGCCUGCACGCAAAUGUAGGCUUUUAUAAAUGUGCCCAUUUGAUGGGGAUCUGAUAGUAAUUGUAUUUCUGAUUUUCUUAACUCACCACCGAAAAUGAGAAUAAUAAUUUUUUCUUCACCUCAAAUAGCAAGUAAAUUAACUCUGUUUUUACCUCCAUUGAAUGACAAUAGUUCCUCAAUGUAGCCUAUUAGAAACAUGUUUUAGAGCUCUCUCCCUUUCAAUAACCACUCCAUUUGAAAGGGGGAAAAAUGUCAUGCUCUGAUCUGGUGGAAAUGUCAUAAAAAAGCGCCACUCAUCCCUCGCUCAAAUACAGCUGUGUCUGUAUGGAGCACAGUGGUGCAGAAAACUGAGGGUCCACAAUAUUUUAUACAAUGUUGCAAGUUUGUUAGCAUAAACUGGCUGGACCAAAUUGAUAGUUUCAUUUUCUUUGCAGACAGGCCAGGCGUAGCCAAUGUGAUUUGUUUUAUCAGGAUAUUUUCUACCUGCAGGCUGCAAUGUCUUUGUUUGAUUUGUAGGCUAUUUGACAUAGUUGGCAAUAGAAGUUACUUUUAUAUUUGUAUAAUUUUAAUUCGGGGGAAAGGGAAUAACUGAAUGCAUUCAACCGAAAUGUCUUCCGCAUUUAACCCAGCCCCGCUGAAUCAGAGGUGCGGGGUGCUGCCUUAUUCCACAUCCACGUUACUGUCCCAAAGCUCUACCUGCCGUCACUUUAGCGGAGUGUCGUAAAAAAACACAACUAUGGACUUUUCCCUCAUAGGAGUUUACUCUGAGAUGAAACGUAAUUUACUGCGAAACAGAGAGCGGGAUGGAGAGGGUGAUUGAAAUUGUGUUGAAAGCCUGUGAUCUCUCGGCAGUUAACGAGCUGUAUGUGUGUCAGGGUUUCUAUGAGUAGUAAAAUGUUGCGCCAGACACACGCAACGUGUGCAUUCAACGAAUUCUGUUGCGCAAUUUUAGAGAUUAGAAUAUCUGUCCACGUUUACUUUUCCUCAGCCAAUAAGAGUAAGGAACAGCAAAAUCACUAGCCGAUGUCAAUGUCGGUCUACCAUCCGCCAUAGUAGAAACGUGUAUAUAUUCUAUUGGUUAGCUUGCUGUUCUGUGCGAGGAAGAAAUAACCGAUUCAAACAAACUCUGGACAGUUGUGGGACGAUAGAGCCCAUAUUCUUACAACCAACCAACAGACAGACCGAGAUACACACAGAGCAGAAGCUAAAGGGGAGAGGAAGGCUGCCUGUCAGGGUCUCGUUGAUCCCCCUCCGUUCCUCAGAUGAACCCCCUCAACUCCAUGAAACCCGGUCUGCCUCCCACUCCGCACAGGUACACACACACACUCUGAAUGACUCCGAGAGGAAGUGCUGAGUGCAUUGUCCUCAGACAAAUCGUUAGUUGUCUUCUGGUUGGCUUUCACCUCUCCCGCUAUUAGCUGGGCUCUGGGACUCAAUGGCUGCUGCUGGUGGUGGAGCGAGAUUACGUCCUGUGAUUUCAGUUGAGGGAGUGGAGGGUAACCUCAGCCCCCCCCCCCCCCCACACACACGUACACACUCAGGGGCCUCCUUUGUUA